rnacentral:lncRNA from 1 species
CCAAGGUUCAUCAUUUCACACAUGAGAAGGGCUACCACCAUUAGGUCUACCGAUUUCAUGGUUUUACAUUUACUUAGGAAAGCUAGACUUAUGAAAGGGCACCAUUUCUUAGUUUUGCCGAUUCAAGUCUUGGCCUAGAAUUCCUCUUUUAGCAUUUAUAGAAAGGGCACCAUUUCUUAGUUUUGCCGAUUCAAGUCUUGGCCUAGAAUUCCUCUUUUAGCAUUUAUAGAAAGGGCACCAUUUCUUAGUUUUGCCGAUUCAAGUCUUGGCCUAGAAUUCCUCUUUUAGCAUUUAUAGAAAGGGCACCAUUUCUUAGUUUUGCCGAUUCAAGUCUUGGCCUAGAAUUCCUCUUUUAGCAUUUAUAGAAAGGGCACCAUUUCUUAGUUUUGCCGAUUCAAGUCUUGGCCUAGAAUUCCUCUUUUAGCAUUUAUAGAAAGGGCACCAUUUCUUAGUUUUGCCGAUUCAAGUCUUGGCCUAGAAUUCCUCUUUUAGCAUUUAUAGAAAGGGCACCAUUUCUUAGUUUUGCCGAUUCAAGUCUUGGCCUAGAAUUCCUCUUUUAGCAUUUAUAGAAAGGGCACCAUUUCUUAGUUUUGCCGAUUCAAGUCUUGGCCUAGAAUUCCUCUUUUAGCAUUUAUAGAAAGGGCACCAUUUCUUAGUUCUGCCCAUUUCACACAUUCAUGCAUUCAAGACUUUAAGUAACAAGGAGGGACACUUUAGUCUACCAACCAAGUCACAACAU